UCUCUCUCUCUCUCACUCAUGUGGCUAAACCUAUAAAUAGGCCAAAAGAUAUACAAAGAAAAGACGCACAACUCAACUCACAUAACAUGAUUUUUAGUAGUUUCUAUGUAAGAGUAGUCACUUAGCAUUUAGGAGUAGUUCAGCUAUACCUUGUUACUGUCGAUCUAUAGAUUGAUAUUAUCAAUGGAAUGGCUUAUACUCCAUGUCUAAAAAUUGUCAGUGUUAUGGUGGUAGUUGUACCAAUUGUUGCCAACAUGAUCGUAUGACAAAUUACAUGGAAAGAAUGAUUCGACGUUGUUAGGAUGAAAUUUAUCGGUGCAAAAGUGAAACUUUGGCCCUACAAGGAGAAAUUAAUUCUCUUUAUCGGAAAGGCAUAGAACUCAACCACAUUGCCUGAUCUGUUAUUGUUUUGUGAAGAUUUUGGUUUAUCUGUCAAUUUGCUUCUGUCGAUCUCAUUCAAACUAUUUUUUUGCCAAAAUAAAUUGUUACACCCAGUGGGAUUGUUCUAAUUUGGAAUUAUGGCACUGAAGAAGUAGGCUGAUGCAUAUGAAAUAAUGCCUUCAAGUGGCAUGUUUACAUCUUGUAUACUCAUGGAUGAAAACCACCAAUGGAGUGGCAAUGUUCCCAUGGAUAUAGAUUAUCAGUGGAAUGCUUUAUACUUCAUGUCUAAAAAUUGUCAAUGUUAUGGUGGUUGUUGUACCAUUUAUUGCCAACAUGAUGGUAUGACAAAUGACAUGGGAAAAUGAUUCGGCAUUGUAAGGAUGAAAUUUAUUGGUGCGGGAGUGAAACUUUGGCCCUACAAGGAGAAAUUAAUUCUCUUUAUCGGCAAAGAUUUCAAGUAAUUUGAUCAUCUUUGUAUUAUUUGAUGCAAAGAGAUUUAGAUUACUUUGAUUAAAAAAUUCAUCAACUUGAAGGCCAAAUUUACCUAAUUGAUUAAGAAAUUCGACAUUUGGAGUAGAAAUUCGAAGGCAUAAUAGCCAAUAAAAAAUUAAGGUAUGAAAAUAAUAUGACUCGUAAACUUAAUACACCUGCUUUUAGAGAGCCAAUUAUUUAUGAAGAGUCAAAGUAUGUGGCUCAGAUGGUUAAUACACUUAUUUCCAUAGAGCAAAUAAUUUAUGAAGAGCCAAGAUAUGUGGCUCGGGAGGUUUAUUUUUAAAUAGCCUACUAUUAAUAAAGAACCAAGGUAUGUGGCUUUUUGGGUUAAUAUACCUGUUUUUAGAUAACCAAGUCAUAAAGAUAAAAUGAAUAGGGAAGGUUUUCAUAAUUCAUUAAUGGCUAAAAAAGAAAAACAACCAAUUUUCUCCAAAUAUAUAUAUAUAUAUAU